rnacentral:lncRNA from 1 species
UUUUUAGAUAGAAUCAUCUGUUUUAUAUUUUAUAUUCCACAUAUAAGUGAUAUCAUAUGGUAUUUGUCUUUUUCUUUCUGGCUUACUUCAUUUAGUAUGACAGUCUCUAGAUCCAUCCAUGUUGAUGCAAAUGGCAUUAGUUUGUCUUUCUUUUAUGGCUGAGAAAUAUUCCAUUGUAUAUACAUACCACAUCUUCUUAAUCCAUUCAUCUGUUGAUGGACAUUUAGGUUGUUUCCAUGUCUUGGCUAUUGUGAAUAGUGCUGCUCUGAACAUAGGGGUGCAUGUAUCUUUUUCAAUAAAGUUUUGUUGGGAUAUAUGCCCAGCAGUGGAAUUGCUGGAUCAUAUGGUAGCUCUAUAUUUAGCUUCCUGAGCUAGCUCCAUACUGUUUUCCAUUGUGGUUGCGCCAAAUUACAUUCCCACCAAGAGUGAAGGAGGGCACCUUUGUCUCUAUAGCCUUCUUGGCAUUUGUGAUUUGUUGACUUGUUAAUGAUGGCCAUUCUGACUCAUGUGAUUUGGUACCUCACUGUAGUUUUUAUUUGCACUUCUCUAAUAAUUAGAGAUACUGAGCAUUUUUUCAUAUGUCCGUUGGCCAUCUGUAUGUUUUCUUUGGAGAAAUGUCUAUUCAGGUCUUCUGCCUAUUUUUCAAUUGGGCUGUUUUUUUGUUGUUGAGUUGCAUGAGUUAUUUGUAUAUUUUGGAGAUUAGGUCCUUGUCUGUUUCAUCAUUGGCAAAGAUUUUCUCCCAUUCUAUAGGUUGUCUUUUUGUUCUUUUAAAUGGUUUCCUUUGCUAUGCAAAAAAAUUUGAGUUUGAUUAUGUCUCAUUGGUUUGUGUCUUUAUUAUUAUUAUUCUAGGAGGGGAAUCAAACAAGAUGUUGCUAUGAUUUAUAUCAAAGAGCCUUCUGCCGAUGUUUUCCUCUAGGAGUUUUAUAGCAACUAGCCUGAUAUUUAGGUCUUUAAUCUAUUUGAGUUUACUUUUGUAUGCGGUGUUAGAGUGUUCUACUAUCAUUCAUUUACAUGUAGCUUUCCAGUUUUUCCAGCACCAUUUAUUGAAGAGGCUAUCUUUCUUCCACUGUACGUUCUUUCCUCCUUUGUCAUAGAUUAAUUGCCCAUAGGUAUUUGGGUUUAUAUUUGGGCUUUCUAUACUGUUCCAUGGUCUAAAUUUCUGUUUUUAUGACAGUCCAUAUUGUUUUGAUGACUGUAGCUUUGUAGUAUUGUCUAAAGUCAGGAAGCUUGAUUCCUCCAUUUUCGGUUUUCUUUUUCAAUAUUCCUUUGGCUAUUUGGAGUCUCUUGUGUUUCCAUAAAAAUUUUAAAAUAUUCUGUUCUAGUUCUGUGAAGAAUGUCUUUGGUAAUUUGAUAAGGAUUGCAUUGAAUUUGUAGAUUGCCUUGGGCAGUAUAGUCAUUUUGAUAAUAUUGAUUCUUCCAAUCCAAGAGCAUGUUAUAUCUUUCCAUCUGUUUGUGUCAUCUUUGAUUUCUUUCCUUAACAUUUUAUAGUUUUCAGAGUAUAGGUCUUUUGUCUCCUUAGGUAGUUUUAUUCCUAGGUAUUUUAUUUGUUUUGUUGUGAUUGUAAAUGGGAUGGUUUCUCUGAUUUCUCUUUCUGAUCUUUCAUUAUUAGUAUAACGAAAUGCAGUUGAUUUCUGUGUAUUAAUUUUGUAGGCCGCAACUUUCCCAAAUUCAUCGAUGAGUUCUAACAGUUUUCUGGUGCUAUCUUUAAGGUUUUCUAAGUAUAGUAUCAUAACAUCUGCAAACAGUGAUAGUUUUACUUCUUUUCCAGUUUGGAUUCCUUUUAUUUCUUUUUUCUUCUAUGAUUGCUGUGGCUAGAACUUCCAAAACUAUGUAGAAUAAGAGUGAUUAAAGUGGACAUACUUGUCAUGUUCCUGAUCUUAUGGGGAAUAUAUUCAGUUUUUCACCACUGAGAAUGAUGUUAGCUGUGGAUUUUUCAUAUAUAUGUGAAAAAUAUAUAAAAUAUACAUAUAUAUUUAUUAGUUUGAGGUAGGUUCCCUCUAUCCCCACUCUCUGGAGAGUUUUUAAUCAGAAAUUGGUGUUGAAUUUUGUCAAAAGCCUUUUCUGCAUCUAUUGAAGUUAUCAUAUGAUUUUUAUUCUUCAGUUUGUUGAUGUGGUGUAUCAUAUUGAUAGAUUUGUGGAUAUUUAAGAAUCCUUGCAUCCCUGGGAUAAACCCUACUUGAUCAUAGUGUGUGAUCCUUUUAAUACAUACUUGGAUUCAAUUUGCUAGUAUUUUGUUGAAGUUUUUGCAUCUAUGUUCAUCAGCAAUACUGGUCUGUAAUUUUCUUUUUUGUGGUAUCUUUGUGUGGAUUUGGUAUCAUGGUGAUGGUGGCCUCAAAGAAAGAGUUUGGGAGUGUUCCUUCCUCUGCUAUUUUUUGAAAGAGUUUCAGAAGAAUAGAUGCUAACUCUUCUCUGAGUGUUUGAUAGAAUUCACCUGUGUAGCCAUCAGGUCCUGGACUUUUGGUUUUUGGAAGAUUUUUAAUCACAUAUUUCAUUUAAGUACUUGUGAUUGUACUAUUUUAUUAUUUUUUUAAUUAUUAUAGUUGAUUUACACUGUUCUGUUUGUUUCUACUGUACAUCAAAGUGACCCAGCCAUAAAUAUAUACACAUUCUCUCAUAUUAUCUUUCAUCAUGACUGGACAUUAUAAGUGACUGGACAUAGUUCUCUGUGCUAUGCAGCAGGACCUCAUUGUCUAUCCAUUCCAAAUGUAACAGUUUGCAUCUAUUACCCCAAAGUCCAAGUCCAUUCCACUCCUUCUUCGUCCCCCUGCCCCGAAACCUUGGCAACCAUAAGUCUGCUAUCCAUGUCUGUGAGACUAUUUCUGUUCUGUAGAUAUGUUCAUCUGUGUCAUACUUUAGAUUCCACAUAUAAGUGAUAUCAUAUGGUAUCUGUAUUUUUCUUUCUGACUUCACUUAUUUUAGAUCACAAUGUCACAAGUACCUAAGUUACAAAAGUUCAGAUAUGUGUCUAUGUGUUUCUCUAUACGUAAGAAGGAAGACAGAUAUACAGUACAUCUAGAAAUAUUUGCAAGUAAGUAUAGCUCUUUCCUUAGGUAUGUUCAAUGAUUAUAGCCCUGUUACACUGAAAAUUUGUUUGUGGUGAUUGUGUCCUCUUAAAUGGCAAGAAGAAAUCAAGUAGAAUUUUGAAUAUUUUAAAUAAGUGUGUUUUCAUAAAAAUAUAUACUGCAUAUGUGCCUGUAUGCAGUAUGUAACCCUUAAGGCUCAUCCUUACAAUACAGAAUGAAGAUUCCAAUAAAACAUUAUAGGUCUUCUUUCGUGAGAACUAUUAAAAGGUGAGUGGCAUAUAGAUAGUCAGAGGAAGGACAGAAAGCUGGAGAGGACAGACAGAAUCUGAUCAGGCAUUAGAGGUGGGGUAGACAAGAUUUUUGUCCCUAGUACAUCACUCUUCCCUAUAAUCAUGUUCUUUGCUAUGUAAUUUUGCAAUCUCUCCCCCUGAAGCUAGAAUGGGCUUUCCUGUUUCACUUUGAGCUUGACAAUGUGACAUUACUUAGCAAAUGACAUAUUAGCAGACAUAACACAAAGAGGAGCUUGGAAAGUGCUUGCCCCCACUGAACUUUGGGACUCUUGAAUUCUGUCACUGCCAAGAGUGUUUCCCUAGAUUAGCCCUGUCCCAUCAAUGUGAGCUGCAGAAACAGCAUACAAGGACUAGGGAUACCAGCUGGGCUCAGGCUCGGUGAGCUUCUCCAGCCAAGUCCAGAAAUCCAUGACAAGGCAUUAUGAGCAUUUUAAGUGAGAUUUUCAGUGGAUUUUUAGACAGUGAUAUUGUGGUAUUUGCUUACUGACACAGAAAGUGAUUUGGUAUUGGUACUAUAUAAUAAGAUGUUCUUUUUUGUUGUUUUUGGCUGCACCCAUGGCGUAUGGAAGUUCCUGGGCUAGGAAUUGAACCUGCAACUGCAACUCCAGUUGCAACCUGAACCACACCUUCAGCAACUUUGGCUCCUUAACCCACAGUGCCAUAGGGGACCUUCCAAGAUGUUCUUAUAGAUAUAUCGUAAAACUUCUAAAUUGGAGAUCUUAUUGUGAUCUAUCAUUUUUUUUGAUAUGUGUAAGAAGUCAUGGAAUUAACUGAUUUUAUAGAUGAAGAAACUGAGUCUCAGAUAAUCCACUGAUAUCACGACUAUUUUGCGACAGAGCCAGGGUUCAAAGCCAUGCUAUCUGACUCUCAGCUUAUUGCAAUUUCCCAUUCCACUAUGCCUUUUUCAGAAAUAUGAAAGGAUAGAAAUAAUAACAGAAGAAGAUGUAAUGAUCAUAAAUCUAUUUAUUCCAUAACAAAUUGCUAGACUAUCCCUAAAUUUGGAAGUAGACUUACUAACAGAGAUUUAAAGAUUUUUUAUUUUACUCUUUCAACUCCUCAUGCCUCUGUUUAUGACAAAGGCCCAUGAAGAACUGAGUUAGGAAAUAAAGAUUGGAGAAGAAUGGAGAGGGGGAGAAAAACCCCACAGUCGCUAGAUAAUCCAUAAACUAAAACAAUCAGCACUUAAUUGAAUGCACAUGUGUAGACUGAGCAGUUUCCCUAAUAGUGAGGCAGUAGGCAAUGAUUAAUGACUGCAAGAAAUCAGCAAACAAUUCUUCUUGAGCUCUGAAUUGUGUUCUGAAUACAAAAUCUGUUGGAACAGGUGACAUGUUGCCAAGGGUUCUGAGGAGCAGACAGAAGAAAUUGCAAAUCUGCCAACAAUUUAUUUCCAAAGACAGAGAGAAAUGGUGACGUAGCAGUCACAAAAUAAAGCAGAAAGCUUUUUAUAAUUUUUUUUUUCUGUCUGAAGAAUAGUGAGCCAGACUAUGGUUUUAUUAUCAGAGCUACAGAGAAAGACAAAAUGCAAUAAUUAAGAAAUCCAAAGACUGUCAUAAAAGACAAUAUGAAGCAGGAAGUUGAACAAUUACUUAAAGUGCUCAAAAAGCUCAGCUCAGAACUUUACCACUCUAAGUGUUUGGAGGAAAGUGAACGGUUAUCUCAGGAAGAGGGAAACGUUAAAUUUUUAGAUACAGUUGAAUACAUAAGGAUAUGUAUUCAGCCAUCCAUCAAAUACAUAUUUAAGCCCUACAAUGCCCCAAAUGUAAAUUUUGUAAGAGGAGAAACAUGAAGAUACCAUUCACAGUUCCAUCCCCAUAAACUAGAGCAGAAUCUAUUGCACAAAAUAUGCUUUAAAAUACCUAAUUGAAGAAUGAGUAAGAGGAUAAUGCUACUUUCAUGGGGCUUACAAAGGA